rnacentral:rRNA from 1 species
GACGAACGCUGGCGGCGUGCUUAACACAUGCAGGUCGAACGGAAAGGCCCUGCUUUUGUGGGGUGCUCGAGUGGCGAACGGGUGAGUAACACGUGAGUAACCUGCCCUUGACUUUGGGAUAACUUCAGGAAACUGGGGCUAAUACCGGAUAGGAGCUCCUGCUGCAUGGUGGGGGUUGGAAAGUUUCGGCGGUUGGGGAUGGACUCGCGGCUUCUCAGCUGGUUGGUGGGGUAGUGGCUUACCAAGGCUUUGACGGGUAGCCGGCCUGAGAGGGUGACCGGCCACAUUGGGACUGAGAUACGGCCCAGACUCCUACGGGAGGCAGCAGUGGGGAAUAUUGCACAAUGGGCGGAAGCCUGAUGCAGCAACGCCGCGUGCGGGAUGACGGCCUUCGGGUUGUAAACCGCUUUCGCCUGUGACGAAGCGUGAGUGACGGUAAUGGGUAAAGAAGCACCGGCUAACUACGUG